rnacentral:rRNA from 1 species
GAUGAACGCUGGCGGCGUGCCUAAUACAUGCAAGUCGAGCGAACAGACGAGGAGCUUGCUCCUCUGACGUUAGCGGCGGACGGGUGAGUAACACGUGGAUAACCUACCUAUAAGACUGGGAUAACUUCGGGAAACCGGAGCUAAUACCGGAUAAUAUAUUGAACCGCAUGGUUCAAUAGUGAAAGACGGUUUUGCUGUCACUUAUAGAUGGAUCCGCGCCGCAUUAGCUAGUUGGUAAGGUAACGGCUUACCAAGGCAACGAUGCGUAGCCGACCUGAGAGGGUGAUCGGCCACACUGGAACUGAGACACGGUCCAGACUCCUACGGGAGGCAGCAGUAGGGAAUCUUCCGCAAUGGGCGAAAGCCUGACGGAGCAACGCCGCGUGAGUGAUGAAGGUCUUCGGAUCGUAAAACUCUGUUAUUAGGGAAGAACAAAUGUGUAAGUAACUAUGCACGUCUUGACGGUACCUAAUCAGUAAGCCACGGCUAACUACGUG